GGGUAUAUAGAAGGAGUCCAUGGAUAGCUGAAUUGGAUGCACGGAAAGCACAAGUGAGGAGUCAAAAUUAGGGCAAUGUGAUACGUGAAGUGAAGGACGAGGAGGAACCAGAGAAGGGGCAAGAUAUUUUGAAACAAAAGCGCAGAAGGAAAAAGAUUCAGGCCAGAACUGUCCAAGAUCUUGUUGUUAAUUCAGUUGAAUAUAAAGUUCAGAAGACUGACGCAGGGAAUGAAGAAGAUGGCCUUGUGAAAAAUGCUGCUAUCGUUCCUUCUGGAGCUGCAAUACCUGGAAAAGGCAAGCUUGAACUAUUACUUGGUAUAUUGCAAAGGUAUGUAGUUAUCUUGUAGAGUAGACAAGCUCCCAUAAUUUCAACUAAGAAAUAUAAUGGAUUAAAUAUCCUAUUUCCUUCUAUGAGA